UGUUUCGAUACUUAAUUAGGCUACUUAAACAUUGUUUGAUGCCUAAUUGUGUAGGUUGAAUCCUAUAUGUACACACACACACACACACACACACACACACAGGGGGAAUUUAUCCUAGUAUCCUAACCAGUCCACUGGCAUGUCUUAGGAAGGGUGGUGGGAGGAAACCAGAGAACCCCGAGGAACCCCACAUGGACAUGAGGAGAACAUGCACAGAAAUUCCGCAUCAACAGUAACCUGAGCGCAGGAACACUGGAGCUGCGAACCCUGGUGUGGAGGCUACAACACUACCACUACACAGGAGCUGUACUCUACAUGCGAAUUCACAGUACUAAAGGUGACAGUGUGGCUCUUCUCAUCCUUAUACAGUGAUCUAAGACAUCUGAUCUGGAUAAACUCAGUGAGGGUGGAGUUACAGUUUACAGUAAAUAAAUCAUGCAGAGAUCAGGAUCUAUAUGAGGAAGCAAUCAUAUCAUCUUUAGCUUAGACAAACAAGAGCAGACACACACACACACACACACACACACAGACACACACACACACACACACACACACACACACACACACAAAUGCACCCACA
ensembl:lncRNA